UGGGUCUAAUGUUUUUCUUAACUUGAUGACAAUAUCUUCAAGAUGGAUGCUGUUCGUGCUGAGUUACCUCUGAACCUUGACAAAUCAAAACAUGUAGAUCAGGGGAAGUCAACUACAAAACGAGUAAAAAAGAGUAGAAAGGUUAAGGAUUAUACGGAAAAAAUCAGGACAAGUGAUGGAUAUUUAUUCUAUGCCCCAAGGUCGUAUGUGAGAACCAUGCUUAAGGGCAAGUUUCAGAAGAAAACAGAUUGAAGCACUCGAACAACAAAAUGAAUCUUCGGAACCUGCUUCUCUGGUGGUUACUGCUGCUCUACCAUCUCCUCCAGCCUCUGCCUAAUUAGAAGCAGAAGAAAGAGCUGAUUGAUAGAACAAUCUAACUUAAUGUCUUAAUUUGGUCUGUCAUGGUGGUGUUUGUAGCAUAUGUGAUCUAUCUGUGAGACUUAAUCUUUUAUGCUGAAUAAACUAGGCAGUGAAUCUAACGAAGUCUUGAACCCUUAUGUAGUGUAUUGCAGUUAGACAGGGUUCCCGAGCAUCAUGUAAGGUACUGAACAACACUCUAUUUGAUGUACCUCUGUAGUGAUUACUGUUAGUUUAAUCUCAGAUUGAUUUUCUAUUAAAUAUUUGGGAGAGUGGUCUAUUAGUUCUAA